ACUUAGUUGGUAGAGCAUGGUGUUUGCAACGCCAGGGUUGUGGGUUCGAUUCCCAU
rnacentral:tRNA from 1 species